GCCUUCGUGGUGUAGUGGUCUGAACGCUGGGCGCAUAUUCGAGAGAUCCGUGGUUCGAGUCCUGGCGAGGGCA
rfam:Stegodyphus mimosarum contig52167, whole genome shotgun sequence.